GGGAUCUUAAAAUUUGAGAGAAAAAAGACAGGAGAGAAGGGAGAAAGAAGAGGAAGAAGAGAAAAGAGGGAAUUAGAAGGGAAAUAGAAAGGAGUUGAAGAGAAUAAGUUUAAAGAUAAUCAUGAUAUUCUACCGGCGGGACGUCAGUAGGAUUUUCUUCGAUAUCAGCUUUGAGUUUUGUUGCUUUCGAGUCAGGCUUAUAGUUUGAUAGCAGGUCAUUUUGUUGAACCUUCAAAACCUGCUCUUUGGUUGUACCUUGUACCUUUCCUUUAUGUUUAGUUAGUGCUCUAAAACUCUGAACUUAUAUAAACUCUUGUAUUAAGACAAUUCAAUUAUAUUAUGAAGUUGAUUUUGUUAUAAA